rnacentral:rRNA from 1 species
AACGAACGCUGGCGGCAUGCCUAACACAUGCAAGUCGAACGAGACCUUCGGGUCUAGUGGCGCACGGGUGCGUAACGCGUGGGAACCUGCCCUUUGGUUCGGAAUAACUCCCCGAAAUGGGUGCUAAUACCGGAUAAUGUCUUCGGACCAAAGAUUUAUCGCCUUUGGAUGGGCCCGCGUUGGAUUAGCUAGUUGGUAGGGUAAACGCCUACCAAGGCGACGAUCCAUAGCUGGUCUGAGAGGAUGAUCAGCCACACUGGGACUGAGACACGGCCCAGACUCCUACGGGAGGCAGCAGUGGGGAAUAUUGGACAAUGGGCGAAAGCCUGAUCCAGCAAUGCCGCGUGAGUGAUGAAGGCCUUAGGGUUGUAAAGCUCUUUUACCCGGGAAGAUAAUGACAGUACCGGGAGAAUAAGCUCCGGCUAACUCCGUG